UAUUAUGUACAUGCCUAUAGAAUUAAUGUAUUGGAUCCCAUUAGAACUCCGUAGUUAAGCGCAUUUGGGCUAGAGUAGCACUGGGGUGGGUGACCUCCCAAGAAAUCCUAGUGUUUUACAUGC
rnacentral:rRNA from 1 species